CGCUCUUUGCAGUUUUUGUAUAAGGAGUCGUUCCUGCUCAAUGAUGUGCGCAUUAAAUAGCAGCGGUAACCURACCGUUCAAAGGUAGUGUAAUUUCUAGCCCAUUAAUAGUGGGCCAAUGAAUGGAUUGACGGAUUUAUAUUGUCUYGUUUGUAUUUAGUAUAAUUUAAUUUUUAGAUGAAGAAGUCUAAAUUUYGAAGAAAGACGAUAAGACCCUGUCAAACUUUAAUAAUAUUGUGUUUUAUGGGUUGAGGUAUUUGUUUAAGCAGAUUUUUAUUUUAGUUGGGGCAACUGAAAAGGAUAGAUACUUUUAAAAGUUUUUGAAUCUUAAGGGAGUGAAGAUCCAAAUUGUGUUGAAUAAUGAAUGAGUUACUGGA
rnacentral:rRNA from 1 species